rnacentral:lncRNA from 1 species
CUCUCUGGUCGCGCGUCUGUGCACUUCUAUCGGCAUUUACAUCACUUUGUUCCAAUCAUCUUCCUUGCGCUUCGUUGGUGUUCCCGGUGUUUCGGCCUAGCUACGCCUCAGCCUCGAAUCGUAUGACCUUCCUUCUCCCUCCGGGACGCUUCGCCCUUUUCUCUGGUGUCUUUCCUUCUCCACGCCUCGACAGAGUGACGUGGUCCUGUUGAAGGCUCAGGGUACUCUCUGUGAAAUGCUCGUGACGAGAAGGAGGUUGACAAUUUCAGAGAGGAAAAGAACUUGCCGGCUGGCGUCUGGCGUGUUUCGCGUUUCGUUUACAGCCGGCCGUAGGUCGACAGACGAUAGGACUUCCGAGCGAUGGCGGCUCUCCUCGGAGCGCGCGUUUGCAAACGGUUCUUGUCCGACAAGAGUCAACUGCCAGAGGCUGCAGAUAGCAGAAACCUGGGUGCAUGCGAGAAAAACGCUUGCUCAGCGAU